rnacentral:lncRNA from 1 species
AUUCAUAUGAGGAAAAUUUUUACAUGAAAUGUAGUAAUGCCAUAUUACUAAAUGCUGAGAACUAUGAUUGAAAAUGAAGAAAACAAUAAUAAUUAAGAAAAAAAUGAAAAUGGGAGGAAAACAGAGGCACAGAGAGUUGACAUCCUGCCCAAGGUCACAGAUCUAAUUCUAGAAGAGCAGGAAAAGCUGGUUUAUCAAGUCUUGUCAUCAUUAUAAAACUACAGAGGUAAGUUUGAAAAAUAUUGGUUCUAUUACUCUGUUGAUGUUUGGUGACCAAUGAGCAAGAUAAAUCUUUUCAAUGUGAG